rnacentral:misc_RNA from 1 species
AAGUCGUAACAAGGUUUCCGUAGGUGAACCUGCGGAAGGAUCAUUAACACGUAUCCAACGUUAAACCCCCUGUGAACCUUCAUUGUGCUCCCACGCUUUGUUAGAAAGUAGCAAUCCCUGGUAAAUCAUCGCCGAACAGUUUUGAUUCAGGGACUUCUGCGAAGAGGGUGAUGUAGCGCGAGGCAAUGGACCGGGCAUUCCUCUGCUUGUUGGUGUCUGAAAUUGUCACUACGAUACGGCCGGCGACCGGGUCCCUGAGCUCACUCAGAGCUCCCUAAUAACCUUUGCAUGAAAACGGGCCUGCGCUUAAUUGUGCGGCCACCAAACUCGAACAACUGUUAACAAUGGAUAUCUUGGUUCUC